UCAAGACUUAAAUCAUUAGACCGCAAAAGUUUUUACAACAUACUAACAAAAUGCUACAUAAGAUACAUAAAUUACAUUAAUUACGUGACCUUUGAAAGAUAUAAAAUACGUCAAGUUUAAUGAAUAUUAUAUAAGCAUGGAUUUCGACAAUUACAAUAAAGGAUUUGAUACGUUCUCAUUGUUUGAAAUAAUUUGGGGCACGAUUUCCUUUCCUUUCCCGUUGUCCUCCGUAACUCUUUUUCCCAUACGGAUAGUGGCGUUGAAGGAUAUCUCCACCUCUCUUUUUCUAAUAUUUGAGCACGCAUCUUCGACGUACUGGACAAAUCUUAAAUCGUAUCUAUAGCCUUUUCCCUACUGGAUGCUUCUUCAUCUUGCCACUUGAAAUGACCACAAUCUAAAGUACAACAAAAGAACAAUCGACUUAUGUUUGAAGUAUUUCUCUGCAUCUCCAUACAUUUCUUGAUGCCUUCGCCGCAUUUUGGGUAGUGUUUCUUUGUUGUACAAUCCGACAAGAAAUGCCUAACCUUCCUACAACUAUGACAAACGCCUCUGUUCUUCCCUAUCAUAUCACUUCAAACAUGGGAAAGGUAAACAAUGUAAUUAGCAAAUUACAUAUUCACUUAGCAAACUUGAGAAAUGUAAACAAUGUAAAACAACCUGCAGCAUGAAUUUCAACAUUUUUAAUUGACUUUGUGCAAUCAGAAAUUGAAAAUGUUUUCGUUAAUCCAACUAUGAUAUUCUACAAAACACUAAACUAAAAUUUAGGAUGGUUAGUAAUUACCUUCACCUUGCGCGAAACUUGGUUAGGAUCGUAUGACUUUCUUCGCGUCUUUUGGAUUUUGGUAACUGGACUUCAAUCGUGAAGUUAAGGGGUAGAUUCCAGUGGGAUUUUUUG
rnacentral:lncRNA from 1 species